rnacentral:SRP_RNA from 1 species
CGUGGACCUCGUGCGGCGCACAUCCCAUGAACCUCCCCAGGGCCGGAAGGCAGCAAGGAUAAGUGGGCUCUGGCGGGUGCACGGGGUCCCCUUUGU